rnacentral:rRNA from 1 species
AAUGAACGCUGGCGGCAGGCCUAACACAUGCAAGUCGAACGGAUCCUUCGGGAUUAGUGGCGGACGGGUGAGUAACGCGUGGGAACAUACCCUUUGGUACGGAAUAGCCUCGGGAAACUGGGAGUAAUACUGUAUGUGGUCGAGAGACGAAAGAUUUAUCGCCAAAGGAUUGGCCCGCGUUGGAUUAGGUAGUCGGUGGGGUAAUGGCCUACCAAGCCGACGAUCCAUAGCUGGUUUGAGAGGAUGAUCAGCCACACUGGGACUGAGACACGGCCCAGACUCCUACGGGAGGCAGCAGUGGGGAAUCUUAGACAAUGGGGGAAACCCUGAUCUAGCCAUGCCGCGUGAUCGAUGAAGGCCUUAGGGUUGUAAAGAUCUUUCAGGUGGGACGAUAAUGACGGUACCUGCAGAAAAAGCCCCGGCUAACUUCGUGCCAGCCGCCGCUGUAA